UUACUUCUGACAAUUAAAUGACAUCUGUUAUCACUUUUAUAUAUAUUUUAAAGAAACUGAGAAACAUCGUAGAAAAAGAUCAUGGACUUAAUGUGUAUGGGUACUUUACUAUAAACUUUUGGCAUUUAUUUAUCUGGAGGUGCGACUUUGCGAAUGUUGUGGUUUAAAGAGUGUAUGUUGUCCAUGUCUUGAUAAAUGUAAAGAAUAUCGUUACAAUAUAAUCAAACAUUAGCGUCAACUUUCAAUUAGUUUAAAUCAUGUCUUUCCUUUUUGCAGGUAAACCCGUGUUAUUGAUGUGCUUAAUGGUGCCGUUUGUCCUCUCUCUGUCGCAUGGCUCCGAGUACAGACCGAGCUUAAACGAUGUGAAACGCCAUCUGGAUGGGAGAGGGCUUGGUGGCCAGAUAGGAACAACAACACAGCAGCCAGCGGGGUCACACAACGACCUUCUUCAUGAUCUACUUCUUUUCUGGAAAGGAAAGUAACAACGGUAUACUGAAAUGCUUAUAAAUUUGCUGCACAGAAGUCUCGUAAUGUUUUGUAAAAAAUGUUGAUAAACAAAUGUAAACAGUU